rnacentral:lncRNA from 1 species
CUGGCACUGAUUUCCCUGUUACACUCCGGAGUGUGGGCAGAUAAUUUGUUGUAAUAUUCAUCGCGGCAUCUCCGGGAGAAGCCUGUGAAGCCAGCGAUGAUUACUGAAAAGGCACCCUAACAAUUUUUGAUUCACUUCAGCUCCUGAGCAUCAUCACACUCCACCCAUACAGGAACCAUUCUGUGGAGAUAAUCUUCAUUUUAAAGGACAUCUGUACAGACAACAGGAAAGCUAAGGCAAAGCUUUAAUGAAGAAGCAUCAGCACUGCUAACAACUGCACAAAGAGGGACCGAAGACCUUUUCGACCAAUGAUGUGGUUGUCAUGGAAACUAUUUCUGUUUCUGUCACUCACCGGGUGUCUUUCAGUGAAGAGACCUAAUGGAAUUAGCCCAAAUAUGUGAUGAAUUUGCUAUGGCUGACUAAAAAAAAAAAAAAAAGGAAAUCUCAUCUGGGACUUGAAUAAUUUCCAAGAACAAAAGCAGUAUGGUUCACUGUAUGAUAAGGAUAACCAGGAUCUCUCCACAGCAGUGUGAUAUGUGACUUAAAAGUGGUACUCUUUCAUAUUACUG